ACAACAACAUUCAGACCGUCGGUCUACCGAGCAAUAUCACCCGCUCGGUGGAAGAUCUUCCCUUUGUCGUUUAAG
rnacentral:pre_miRNA from 1 species